ensembl:snRNA U6 U6 spliceosomal RNA
UUGCCUUGAAAGCACAUCUAUUAAAAUUAUAAUGAUACAGAAAGAUUAACAUGGAUCCUGUCCAAGGGAGACAUAACCUUGUGAAGGGCUUCUUAUCUUA